rnacentral:rRNA from 1 species
UACGUAGGGGGCGAGCGUUGUCCGGAUUUAUUGGGCGUAAAGAGCUCGUAGGCGGUUUGGUAAGUUGGAUGUGAAAUCUCCAGGCUCAACUUGGAGGGGUCAUUCGAUACUGCCAUGACUAGAGUUCGGUAGGGGAGUGUGGAAUUCCUGGUGGAGCGGUGAAAUGCGCAGAUAUCAGGAGGAACACCCGUAGCGAAGGCGGCACUCUGGGCCGGAACUGACGCUGAGGAGCGAAAGCAUGGGUAGCGAACAGG